rnacentral:rRNA from 1 species
CACGUAGGGGGCAAGCGUUGUCCGGAUUUAUUGGGCGUAAAGAGCUCGUAGGCGGCUUAGUAAGUCGGGUGUGAAACCUCCAGGCUCAACCUGGAGACGCCACCCGAUACUGCUGUGGCUAGAGUCCGGUAGGGGAGCGUGGAAUUCCUGGUGUAGCGGUGAAAUGCGCAGAUAUCAGGAGGAACACCGGUGGCGAAGGCGGAUCUCUGGGCCUUGCCUGACGCUGAGGCGCGAAAGCUAGGGGAGCGAACAGG